rnacentral:rRNA from 1 species
UAGCGGCGGACGGGUGAGUAACACGUAGGUAACCUACCUAUAAGACUGGGAUAACUUCGGGAAACCGGAGCUAAUACCGGAUAAUAUUUCGAACCGCAUGGUUCGAUAGUGAAAGAUGGCUUUGCUAUCACUUAUAGAUGGACCUGCGCCGUAUUAGCUAGUUGGUAAGG